rnacentral:misc_RNA from 1 species
AAAUCUUGUAUAUAAAUAGGCAUAGGUACAAAGUUAUUGAUACAUGUGAAAAAUACAGAAAUUUCUCGCAUAUACAUUAGUUUCAUCAUGGUAUUAGAGCUUUCGAUUCAUUAGGGCAAGCUUUUAGUACUAUUCACGCAUACUGUUCACGCUCGUUGUUUAUCGGCACUGUUCACAGCAAAUGGACCUCCGACUUUUUCAACUGUUCCUCGCUUGUUGUGCUUCUACCCAGCCGUUGUCGUUGAUUUGACCAUAAAGCGAAUAUGUCUGAAACAGUGG